AGGAAGAGGAGGGAAGGAAUGAGGAAGAGGAUGGAGGGAGGUGGCGGGGCCGCGCCGCGGCUGGAAGCGAAAUCCCAGCCCCUUCACGGGUCUGCGGCUGUCCUUUAACAGCGCUUCUCUCUUUGCUCGGGAUUUUUUAGGAGGGGCCUGGUUUUGUUUUGAUUUUUUUUUUUUUUUUUUGUGGUUUUCUUUGGGUUUGGUUUUUUGGUUUUUUUUUUGGUGCAUGUGUGGUUUCCUUCUUUUGGUUCAGGUGGUUUCGGUUUUUUGGUUUUUGUGGGCUUUUUGUUAGUUUUGUUUUUACUUUUGUUUUUUAAUUCCGUGUCUUUUGAUUCCUUCACAGCAAAAUGCUUCCCCAGAUCUCCAAACUCCCUGAAGGAUUUCAAUUUCCAGCCUAAAUACCCAGCCGAGUGUGCUCCGAUUCAAUUCUCUCCUUUAUUUCCUACCUUAAAAGUCACAUCAAAACCACUGCAUCUCCUCUCACUCUACUGAGGGGUUUUUUAGGUUUUUAAAAAGUGUUUUGUAAAGUAGGUUCUUCAUUAAUCUGUUUGUCUUAAGCUGCUUAAAAAUACUCAUUGGCUGUAUCGGGAGCCGAGCUUAAAAAAAAAAAAAAGUGCAGGAUUUGUGGAGGAUUGAGCUGAAUUUCUCAGCUGUCUGGAACUGGCAUUAGUGCUCCACCAAGAUCCUAAUAUUCCUGCUUUCCCUGGUACUUACCAGCCCAAUUUUGGGUUCAUGAAGCAAAGUCAUGUGGUUUUUUUUUUCCAUUUUGUGAUUUUACUGCCUUCUGCUGGUCAGAGACGAUCAGGCUGAGCUUAAUUUUUUAUAAUCAGCACAUGAUCUAACAUUUAGCUGCAGUGAGCUGCCAACAAUAGAUGCUUUGUGUAUUUCGUGGUGUUUUGGUUUGGGUUUUUUUCCCCUGCAGCCUCAUGGAUAUAUUUCACAUAGGAGGGUUGAUCAGUAAAGAGGAUUGUAGGUUUUAAUGUGCAGACUACAUCUUGUUCCAAAAGUCUGCUGUUGGCCUGCGGUGGGGAUGUAGCAGAUCACCUUUCUAAUCCUUCCCUGCUUGCCCUUUGCUCCCAAGAUAAAGAAAAAAAGAUUUAAAAAUAAAAACCCUGUUGCUGUUUGCAUAAACUCAUAAAACUGUGACAGUGCAGAAAGAAAGAGGCCUGCUGCCUCCAGAAUUUCAUGAUCUGUUCUAGGAAUUAUAGUUGUUUAAAGUUUUAUCUUUGCUUUUAUUCCCUGAGACAGAGAUGGAUGUUCUUGUCUGUCUGUGUAGGGGCUGCAAGGUGGAGAGCUGAGGAGCUGACAGGGCUUGGAUCUGCCUAAAUGUGCAAGGAAUUAUCCAGCUGAUCAAAGGAAAUGGCUCUUCCCCUUCCUGCACCUUCCUGCUCUCAAAUUUAAUAACCAUGCCCUGAAUUGAUGGGCCACACCUGGAUAUACCCUGUAAAUCCCUGGGCAGGCAGGGGAUGAGAGGGAAGGUGAACAAGGUGUGUAACACCAAGUGGCAAUGGCAAGAUUAAACAUUAGAGGAGAUACUCUGAUUUAUGGAAAUACACAACAUUUAUCCUCCAAACACUGCAGAAUGUGUCCUGUGUCCAGGCCAUGGAUCCUUUUUGGAGGCAGGGAUGUUUCCCAAAGGCUGAUGUGUUCUUCUGUUGGAACCCAGCGUGGAACAAGCCAGGUUCCUGCUUUUGCUUCCUAAAACAUGGUGAGGAAUUACAGUGUGUUAAAGAAGAGUAGCUAUUCAGUAUCCUCAUAAUGGUGGUAAAAUUCCAGGUUUUACAUUCGUUACUAUGUAGCCUCUAUUCAAACAUUAAUUAAAAUUAACUUGGGCUGUCUGGAGGUAUUAAUUGCAUGUACACAGCCCCUCCACUCUUGAUUUGUCUUCACCCUCACUCUGAGGUACCAGACACCCUUGAGGGCAAGAAACUCUGCAAAAUAAACAGUGUAGCACUCCCAGGACAUCAUGAAUCACACACAAUUUCCCCCUGUUUUAAAAGAAAAUUGUUCCAUUUGCAAGAAAACUUGCCACACAAGUGUUGUUUCUGAAUCAGGGAUCUGCUAGU